GGGUUGUGAGGUUAAGCGACUAAGCGUACACGGUGGAUGCCCUGGCAGUCAGAGGCGAUGAAGGACGUGCUAAUCUGCGAUAAGCGUCGGUAAGGUGAUAUGAACCAUUAUAACCGGCGAUUUCCGAAUGGGGAAACCCAGUGUGAUUCGUCACACUAUCAUUAACUGAAUCCAUAGGUUAAUGAGGCGAACCGGGGGAACUGAAACAUCUAAGUACCCCGAGGAAAAGAAAUCAACCGAGAUUCCCCCAGUAGCGGCGAGCGAACGGGGAGCAGCCCAGAGCCUGAAUCAGUGUGUGUGUUAGUGGAAGCGUCUGGAAAGGCGUGCGAUACAGGGUGACAGCCCCGUACACAAAAAUGCACAUAUUGUGAGCUCGAUGAGUAGGGCGGGACACGUGGUAUCCUGUCUGAAUAUGGGGGGACCAUCCUCCAAGGCUAAAUACUCCUGACUGACCGAUAGUGAACCAGUACCGUGAGGGAAAGGCGAAAAGAACCCCGGCGAGGGGAGUGAAAAAGAACCUGAAACCGUGUACGUACAAGCAGUGGGAGCACGCUUAGGCGUGUGACUGCGUACCUUUUGUAUAAUGGGUCAGCGACUUAUAUUCUGUAGCAAGGUUAACCGAAUAGGGGAGCCGAAGGGAAACCGAGUCUUAACUGGGCGUUAAGUUGCAGGGUAUAGACCCGAAACCCGGUGAUCUAGCCAUGGGCAGGUUGAAGGUUGGGUAACACUAACUGGAGGACCGAACCGACUAAUGUUGAAAAAUUAGCGGAUGACUUGUGGCUGGGGGUGAAAGGCCAAUCAAACCGGGAGAUAGCUGGUUCUCCCCGAAAGCUAUUUAGGUAGCGCCUCGUGAAUUCAUCUCCGGGGGUAGAGCACUGUUUCGGCAAGGGGGUCAUCCCGACUUACCAACCCGAUGCAAACUGCGAAUACCGGAGAAUGUUAUCACGGGAGACACACGGCGGGUGCUAACGUCCGUCGUGAAGAGGGAAACAACCCAGACCGCCAGCUAAGGUCCCAAAGUCAUGGUUAAGUGGGAAACGAUGUGGGAAGGCCCAGACAGCCAGGAUGUUGGCUUAGAAGCAGCCAUCAUUUAAAGAAAGCGUAAUAGCUCACUGGUCGAGUCGGCCUGCGCGGAAGAUGUAACGGGGCUAAACCAUGCACCGAAGCUGCGGCAGCGACGCUGAUGCGUUGUUGGGUAGGGGAGCGUUCUGUAAGCCUGUGAAGGUGUGCUGUGAGGUAUGCUGGAGGUAUCAGAAGUGCGAAUGCUGACAUAAGUAACGAUAAAGCGGGUGAAAAGCCCGCUCGCCGGAAGACCAAGGGUUCCUGUCCAACGUUAAUCGGGGCAGGGUGAGUCGACCCCUAAGGCGAGGCCGAAAGGCGUAGUCGAUGGGAAACAGGUUAAUAUUCCUGUACUUGGUGUUACUGCGAAGGGGGGACGGAGAAGGCUAUGUUGGCCGGGCGACGGUUGUCCCGGUUUAAGCGUGUAGGCUGGUUUUCCAGGCAAAUCCGGAAAACUAAGGCUGAGGCGUGAUGACGAGGCACUACGGUGCUGAAGCAACAAAUGCCCUGCUUCCAGGAAAAGCCUCUAAGCAUCAGGUAACAUCAAAUCGUACCCCAAACCGACACAGGUGGUCAGGUAGAGAAUACCAAGGCGCUUGAGAGAACUCGGGUGAAGGAACUAGGCAAAAUGGUGCCGUAACUUCGGGAGAAGGCACGCUGAUAUGUAGGUGAAGUCCCUCGCGGAUGGAGCUGAAAUCAGUCGAAGAUACCAGCUGGCUGCAACUGUUUAUUAAAAACACAGCACUGUGCAAACACGAAAGUGGACGUAUACGGUGUGACGCCUGCCCGGUGCCGGAAGGUUAAUUGAUGGGGUCAGCGCAAGCGAAGCUCUUGAUCGAAGCCCCGGUAAACGGCGGCCGUAACUAUAACGGUCCUAAGGUAGCGAAAUUCCUUGUCGGGUAAGUUCCGACCUGCACGAAUGGCGUAAUGAUGGCCAGGCUGUCUCCACCCGAGACUCAGUGAAAUUGAA
rnacentral:rRNA from 1 species